rnacentral:tRNA from 1 species
GGAGGUGUCGCAUAGUGGUAUUGCGCCGGUCUCGAAAACCGGUGGUUCCUUUUAGGGCCAGGCGGGUUCGAUUCCCGCUGCCUCCG